UACGUAGGUGACCAGCGUUGUCCGGAUUUACUGGGCGUAAAGAGCGCGCAGGCGGUCGUUCAAGUCGAGUGUGAAAGCCCCGGCUCAACUGGGAGGGUCAUUCGAUACUGAUCGACUGGAAGGCAGGAGAGGGAAGCGGAAUUCCCGGUGUAGUGGUGAAAUGCGUAGAUAUCGGGAGGAACACCAGUGGCGAAGGCGGCUUCCUGGCCUGUUCUUGACGCUGAGGUGCGAAAGCGUGGGAGCAA
rnacentral:rRNA from 1 species